rnacentral:rRNA from 1 species
GAUGAACGCUGGCGGCGUGCCUAAUACAUGCAAGUCGAGCGAAUGGAUUAAGAGCUUGCUCUUAUGAAGUUAGCGGCGGACGGGUGAGUAACACGUGGGUAACCUGCCCAUAAGACUGGGAUAACUCCGGGAAACCGGGGCUAAUACCGGAUAACAUUUUGAACCGCAUGGUUCGAAAUUGAAAGGCGGCUUCGGCUGUCACUUAUGGAUGGACCAGCGUCGCAUUAGCUAGUUGGUGAGGUAACGGCUCACCAAGGCAACGAUGCGUAGCCGACCUGAGAGGGUGAUCGGCCACGCUGGGACUGAGACACGGCCCAGACUCCUACGGGAGGCAGCAGUAGGGAAUCUUCCGCAAUGGACGAAAGUCUGACGGAGCAACGCCGCGUGAGUGAUGAAGGCUUUCGGGUCGUAAAACUCUGUUGUUAGGGAAGAACAAGUGCUAGUUGAAUAAGCUGGCACCUUGACGGUACCUAACCAGAAAGCCACGGCUAACUACGUGCCAGCAGCCGCAGUAA